ensembl:snRNA U4 U4 spliceosomal RNA
UAGUUUGUGCAGUGGCAGUAUCAUAGCCAAUGAGGUUCAUCCCGGGCGAGAUUAUUGCUAAUUGAAAACUUUUCCCAAUACCCCGAUGUAACAACUUGCAAUAUAGUCGGCAUUGGCAAUUUUUAACAGUCUCUAUGGAAA